rnacentral:rRNA from 1 species
AGAUUAAGCCAUGCAUGUAUAAGUAUAAACGCUUUAAGCGUGAAACUGCGUACGGCUCAUUACAACAGCAAUAAUUUACUUGAUCUUGACAACCUACAUGGAUAACUGUGGUAAUUCUAGAGCUAAUACAUGCACCAAAGCUCCGACCCGCGAGGGGAGAGCGCAUUUAUUAGAACAAAACCAAGCGGCUUCGGCCGUCCAUUGUUGACUCAGAAUAACUAAGCUGAUCGUACGGUCUUGUACCGACGACGUGUCUUUCAAGUUUCUGCCUUAUCAACUUUCGAUGGUAGUGUAUCUGACUACUAUGAUGGUGACGGGUAACGGAGGAUAAGGGUUCGACUCCGGAGAAGGGGCCUGAGAAAUGGCCACUACGUCUAAGGAUGGCAGCAGGCGCGCAAAUUACCCACUCUCAAUGCGAGGAGGUAGUGACGAGAAAUAACGAGGCCGUUCUCUUUGAGGCCGGUCAUCGGAAUGGGUACAAUUUAAACCCUUUAACGAGUAUCUAUGAGAGGGCAAGUCUGGUGCCAGCAGCCGCGGUAAUUCCAGCUCUCAAAAUGCAUAGAAUUAUUGCUGCGGUUAAAAAGCUCGUAGUUGGAUCUGUGCCUGUGCUCCGGUCCACCUCGCGGUGCGCACUGGGUGUCACAGGCUUUCCUGCAGUGUUCAGCCCCGGCGCCUUCACCGGCACCGGUGUGUUGAUGCUGCAAGUUUACUUUGAACAAAUCGGAGUGCUCCAAACAGGCGUUUGCUUGAACGUUCGUGCAUGGAAUAAUAGAAGAGGAUUUCGGUUCAAUUUUAUUGGUUUUAUUGGCCGAGAUAAUGGUUAACAGAGACAAACGGGGGCAUUUGUAUUGCUGCG